UACGGGGGGGGCAAGCGUUGUUCGGAAUUACUGGGCGUAAAGGGCUCGUAGGUGGCCAACUAAGUCGGACGUGAAAUCCCUCGGCUUAACCGGGGAACUGCGUCCGAUACUGGUUGGCUUGAGUUUGGGAGAGGGAUGCGGAAUUCCAGGUGUAGCGGUGAAAUGCGUAGAUAUCUGGAGGAACACCGGUGGCGAAGGCGGGAUCCUGGGCCAGUACUGACGCUGAGGCGCGAAAGCCAGGGGAGCAAACGGG
rnacentral:rRNA from 1 species